CCACCAGCGCCGGCGCUGAACCACCCCGUGCCGCUCCACCGUCGCCGGCGCUGAACCACCCCGCGCCGGGCCGCUCCCCACCAUUCCCCUCCCAUCGCCAUUCAGAUCUCCCCUAGUCCUACCCCUCAAGCCGAGGCGGCAGUAGCGGCAGCGGGACUGACGGCCGGACUUGGAAGCCCCCGAGGUCACCGGCGGUGGGGCAGGCAGCCAAAUUUGGAAGUCCCCGAGGUCACCGGCGGCGGGCACGGAUCCAGCUCCAUCCGACGGAGAGCCCUUGUCGGUCUCAUGGGGAUGGUUAGCUGCAAGGCGGAGCAGAACACAAACGAGUCCUUCACGCUCGACCACGGCACCGACCGCAUCGAUUUCAUCAGAUGUGGCGGAGCUACAAAGAAAAGCCUGAGCAGGCCAAUCUAAAAAAUAUGAAAAAAUCAACCCAAGGAAAGGAUGAUGAGCUGCUGCUGAAAAGUCUUCCUCAACUCCAUCCGUAACGUUGGCACUCAGCUGGGGAUUGAAGUUUUUAGCAGGAAUUACUUGGCUUCGAAUAACUACCUGGAAGCAUUAGUGGUGCAGUGUUGGAGAUUAAAUCCAGCUAGUACUAUAGUAUACUUGAAAUAAAAAAAAUGCUUAUAGCGCUUUCUAUAUAUGUUGUGAUACAAAUAUUUGUUUUCAGAAAUCAGACUAGAUUGUUGGAAGUUUGUAUUUUCUUGUGGCCAGAUGCUAUUGUGUGAAUGAAUUUGUCUUGUUGCAAUUGGGUUGCAUGAAAAA